rnacentral:rRNA from 1 species
CUGCGAACGGCUCAUUACAACAGAUAUAAUCUACUUGUUUUAUGUUUAAACGGAUAACUGCGGUAAUUCUGGAUGCCAAUACGUGCACAAAGGCCUACGUAGCAAUACGGAGGCUGCACUUAUCGGAGCAAAAUCAAUCAUUGAAUAAUGCUAACUCUGGAUAAGCAAGCUUAUCGCAUGGCGCAAGCCGGCGAAGGAACAUUCGAGUAUCUGCCCUAUCAUCUAUCGUAGGUAGUGUAUUGGACUACCCAGGAGAUAACGGGUAACGGAGAAUCAGGGUUCGACUCCGGAGAGGGAGCCUUAGAAACGGCUACCAUCGCUAAGGCGAGCAGCAGGCGCGCAACUUAUCCACUGUCCACUCGGACGAGAUAGUGACGAGAAAUAACAAGCCCGUUCUCUUUGAGGUCGGGCAUUGGAAUGGACCGAAUGUAAACGAUUCGGUGAGUACCCACAAGAGGUCAAUUCUGGUGUCAG